rnacentral:lncRNA from 1 species
GUAUUUACAAAUGUGUGUUCUAUUUAUUUCACUUAAGAGUAUGACCUCAAUGGAAAUAUUUACCCAUCAAUUCCCUUCCUUUGGUGGUUAUGGUUUUCCUAAUGGUGUUAACUCCCUGCUACUUCCUUGACAGCCUCCCUUUGAGCAGCAUGCUCCUGCCACUACAGAAAACCCUCAGACAGAAAGGAAAAUGGUUAAAAUUUGCAGUGAUUGGUGUGGAAUGUGUGGAAAUUCCCAUUAAGGCUGCAGAUGGCUUCGAUGAUGGGCCAAGAGAGUAUGGACAAGGUAUAAAAGCUGUUUCUUGAAAGCCGUAAAGAAAAUUACUGCCCACCAGAGGAUGCUACAACUGCAUGAAGAAUAAUAAACAAUGGCCUUGGUGACACCAUAUCUUGAUUCAAGUCAGAGAAACUAAUAUCUAGCACAGUACUUAUACUAGACAGUGGGGUGUGUUUAUCUUUUGAUCUAUGACCCACUAACCUUUUGGAAGAGAGAUUACAGUGAAGAGAACCUAAGCAAAUUCAGGGAAUAAUUGGGAGAUAAAACUGAAGACCGUUUUGAUGAAGUCAACAGACUUCUGGUGUUUGCCAGUCCUGUCUUACUGUUCAGCAUUUAUUUUAUAGCUUUAAACAAGGCUCUCUAUCACUAUUUGAAAAAUGUUACCAGUGAUUGACUCAGUGACAAAUAUGUGUUCCAUUCAAGCUGACAAUUCAGGUCUUUCUAGGGAUGAUAGUAUGAGAACACACAUUUUCUUGAGCUACUCUUUACAACUACCACCUGGCUAUUGCCUGAUUUCCUUGAGACCUUUAUCAGUCUCUUAAAGUACCUUAUUUGCUGUUAUGACUUAUAUCUAGAUGUCCCCCCAAAGCCUCACAUGGUUAUAGGUGGGCUUUUUGGAGGUGGCUGGAUCUAAGGUGUGUAAUGAUAGGAUUAAGAAUAUGAUGCUAGGAUUAAUGGUGUGAUGCUAGGAUUAAAAGUGCCCUAUCUUGAAUGUAAGUGUUACCCACCCUAAGGGCAGGUAGCCCGGGUAGAAUAUAAAGCACAGAAAGAGGGCUGCUGCAUGCUGCUUGCUGCUUCCUGCUUCACUACUUUGCUACUUCACUGUUUUCUUCUCUGAGGUGCCCCUCUGCCAUGCCACCCUGCCUUGGAGCCAGUCAAUUGUGAACUGAAACCUCUACAAACUGUGAGCUACAAUAAAAGUUUCCUCUUUUAACUUUGGGUGUCAAG